AGCUCACCUUAGUCUCUUUAUUAAACUAAACAAACUUUUAGACUUAAGAGCUAUUCAAAUAAGGCACAGCUUAUUUGAAAUAGGAUACAACCUACAACAUAGGGUAAACGAGAGUGACCUAAAUAAAGUGGGCCUAAAAGCAGCCACCUUUAGAAAAGCGUUAAAGCUUAACUACCUUCACUCAUAAUGCCUAAAAUCUCCACUAACCCCUCAUUACUACUGAACAAUUUUAUAUUCAUAUAAAAGCUAUCAUGCUAGAACUAGUAACAAGAAACUGCUUUUCUCCUAAAUGUAAACAUAAGCCAAAAUAGACUCUCUAUUGGUUAUUAACGUAGAUGCUAAACUGUAGCAACACUCACUAGAAAAUCCUAUAAACCCCAACGUUAACCUUACACCAGAACAUUACAGGAAAGAUUAAAAGAAAAAGAAGGAACUCGGCAAAUUUUAGCCUCGCCUGUUUACCAAAAACAUCGCCUCUUGACAAAACAUAAGAGGUCCAGCCUGCCCAGUGACAAAGUUCAACGGCCGCGGUACCCUAACCGUGCAAAGGUAGCACAAUCACUUGUUCUUUAAAUGAGGACUCGUAUCAACGGCACUACGAGGGCUAUACUGUCUCCUUUUUCUAAUCAGUGAAACUGAUCUCCCCGUGAAGAAGCGGGGAUUAUAAUAUAAGACGAGAAGACCCCAUGGAGCUUUAAACUCACCAUGCACCUCUGUGCUUUCAUACCCCUAAACACAACAGACCUGCAUGUUAGUUUUAGGUUGGGGUGACCACGGAGUAUAACUUAACCUCCACAGCAAACGGGCUAAUACCCUUAUCCACGAGACACAACUCUAAGAAUUACUAAACUAAUGCUUACGACCCGAUAUUCGAUCCAUGAACCAAGUUACCCUGGGGAUAACAGCGCAAUCUACUUCAAGAGCCCAUAUCGACAAGUAGGUUUACGACCUCGAUGUUGGAUCAGGGUAUCCCGGUGGUGCAGCCGCUACCAAUGGUUCGUUUGUUCAACGAUUAAAACCCUACGUGAUCU
rnacentral:rRNA from 1 species